rnacentral:rRNA from 1 species
UACGGAGGGUGCAAGCGUUGUCCGGAAUCACUGGGCGUAAAGGGCGCGUAGGCGGCUCAUGAAGGCUGUGGUGAAAGGUCCGGGGCUCAACCUCGGAUCGGCCGUGGCGACUCGUGGGCUGGAGCACUGUAGAGGCGGGUGGAAUUCCGGGUGUAGCGGUGGAAUGCGUAGAGAUCCGGAAGAACACCAGUGGCGAAGGCGGCCCGCUGGGCAGUGGCUGACGCUGAGGCGGCGAACAGCGUGGGGAGCAAACGAG